GAUGAACGCUGACAGAAUGCUUAACACAUGCAAGUCAACUUGAACUUCGGUUUGGGUGGCGGACGGGUGAGUAACGCGUAAAGAACUUGCCUCACAGCUAGGGACAACAUUUGGAAACGAAUGCUAAUACCUGAUAUUACGAUUUUAGGGCAUCCUAGAAUUAUGAAAGCUAUAUGCGCUGUGAGAGAGCUUUGCGUCCCAUUAGCUAGUUGGAGAGGUAACGGCUCACCAAGGCGAUGAUGGGUAGCCGGCCUGAGAGGGUGAACGGCCACAAGGGGACUGAGACACGGCCCUUACUCCUACGGGAGGCAGCAGUGGGGAAUAUUGGACAAUGGACCAAGAGUCUGAUCCAGCAAUUCUGUGUGCACGAUGAAGUUUUUCGGAAUGUAAAGUGCUUUCAGUUGGGAAGAAAAAAAUGACGGUACCAACAGAAGAAGUGACGGCUAAAUACGUG
rnacentral:rRNA from 1 species